UACGUAGGGGGCAAGCGUUAUCCGGAUUUACUGGGUGUAAAGGGAGCGUAGACGGCCAGACAAGUCUGAAGUGAAAAUCCAGCGCUUAACGUUGGAAGUGCUUUGGAAACUGCCGGGCUAGAGUGCAGGAGGGGCAGGCGGAAUUCCUAGUGUAGCGGUGAAAUGCGUAGAUAUCAAGAGGAAUACUCAUUGCGAAGGCGACCUACUGGAACAUUACUGACGCUCAUGCACGAAAGCGUGGGGAGCAAACAGG
rnacentral:rRNA from 1 species